rnacentral:lncRNA from 1 species
AAUUAUUUGUUGAAUAAUUCAUCCUCCGCAACAGAGAAAAAUUUCCUGAGGUAUCUCCUUCCCGUGACAGCUGGUCUCUGAAGAUGGCCCUCCACCAACCAUGCCCUUUGUUGUCUCCUCCAAUAUUGAAUUAAAC